UAAAGAUAAUUUGAGAUUUUUUUACUACUCCUGAAUAUAACAAGAAGUGCUAUUAAAGGGGAACAAACAUCACUACAUCAACAAUUACCAAUGUUUCAUGAGCACUUUUUCCCAUUAAGGAAUUUAGUAAGAAACCAAACACUGAUUCUUCUUUUCAAAACUUCAUAUUCCCCUUUCAAUGUGUUUACCAAACUCUUCUAUAUAUAACUGAAAUCAGUACAAAAACAAGUGAGCUUAUUUGGAUCUCACAGGUUCAAGCGAUUUUUAACCCACCGCCGUUAGUCUCCGUUACUCCACUCGUUUGCUUCUUGCUGACAAUCUUACGGUAAUGUUUCUACUUUUGAGUUGGUAUUGUAUUAUGUAAUUAAGGGAUGCAUAGUUGCUUUCUCUUCAAACCUGAAACCUUUUCAACAUUCUUCAUUUGGAGUAUGUCACAAAUCCUACUCCCUCCUUUCCAAUUUAUAAUGCUCCCUCCAUUUUAUUUUAUAGGAUAGUUGAUUGGGCACAGAGUUUAAAGAACUGAUUAACUUUUAUAUAUUGUAUUAGUGAUUGUGGAAGAACAAUAUUGAAGUAAUGGUUGAAAAGAUAGUUUGAUGGAGAAAACAUCCUAUCAAAGUUGAAAAGAUGAAUAGUUUAAUUUAAUACUCUCUCCGUUUUAAUUUAUGUGAACCUAUUUGACUGGGCACAGAGUUUAAGAAAAGAAAGAAGACUUUUAAUUUUGUGUGACUAUAAAUCAUUGCAUAAAGCUAAAUUGUUUUCAAAUAAGGAAAUGAGUCAUUGACUAAAAAGUAAAUAGGUUCAGAUAAAUUAAAAAAGAGGGAGUAGUAUAUUUGAAAGCUUGAAAGUUGUAUAGAUAUGGAAUGACGUCGGAUGUUUUGGACAUCCUAAAAUGGAAAAACUUUCAUAAAAGUUGGAACGAAGGGAGUAUUAAAUUUCGAAAUGCUAGGGUGAGAGUAUCCGGUUUUUAUUUUAAUUUAGAUAUGAAUUCUUUAAUUUAUUGAAUUAAAACUUAGUUUCACAUAUGUAGAAACUACAUAAAUAGUACUAUAAGUCACAUAUUAUUGUGUAAUUCAAAAUACUUAAUAUAAAAUUUGAAUAGUUUGUAGUCAAAGGAACUGGAAGAGUUGCUUGAUUCCCAAAUAGUAUCUGUGUCAUAUAAAAUAAAACAAAGGAAGAACCGAACAAGGUGUAUGGUAACUUUGGUAGUAGAAUAUUGGAAGUACAAAAAGAACAUCGCAUUAAAUACAGUGAUAUUUGUUGAGGGGAGAUUCCUAAAUCAUAAAUUAGGUGGAAAUAACAAAUAUUAGUCAUGAGGGGGCAUAGUCAUGAAUUCCUAUUGCCUGGCAAUGAUUCUGUAUUGCUAUCUGAAGAACUUGACUCUCUUUAAGAUGCUUCAGUGAUUUGACUCUCAUUAGCAUUCACUCUUUUUCUUUUUUAAAUUCAUAUAUAUAUAUGAAGGUUCGAUUGGAAUCCCUAGAUUUUGGCUUAGUGAUUGAAAAUUCAUGAAUUCAAAAGCCCAGUUAUUACGUGAUAUUAAGUUCAUCAAGUGCGGGUGAAUUACAAUCGAAUGGUCUUAAUGGGCCCAAAAGUUUUCCUUGAGGAUCCAGUGGAUAAGGAGUAUAUGAUACAUUGAAAAAGUCUUUAGGUAGAGAGAGGUGCUAUGGAGAUAUAAACUGAUUUGAGGAAGGCCAUCUUCCUAUUUUGCAGCACUAUUGUAGGUACUCCUUCCAUUUCAGCCAUCCUAGUUCAAUUUUAUAUGCUAAAUCUCAUUUAUCAUGUUUCUCUUGCAAUAUCUAGUGCAUUACAUUCAAAUGCUUUUGUCAUUAUUAAAAUUUUAAAAAAAGAAGAAAUGUAGUUGCACAUGCUUUUUUGGGAAUAUUCAUGAGAUAUAUAACUAACAUUACGCUUGGCUAUAAAAUGCCUCUUUAUACAAAAUGCAUUCCUCCAAGCAUAAAUGUUUCUUAAGGACUUUUAUUAUUUGGUUCUAGACAUUUUGCUUGAAAUAGGGCCUGUCUAAUAUCGUCUUCCGUGUUAGAUAUUGUAUCACCUAUCUAAGCAAAGCAUUCAGUAGCUUAGCAGGGCAUAUUGCUUUUGAUGGGCGUGAAUGGUCCAUUGAAAUCACUUUCUGUUCCUCCUUUCACGUGCACGAGAAUAUGGACAAGGAAACACUCUCUUGGAUCCUUAUUUACUUUACUCUUUAUGAGCUGCUUAACGACAAAAGAUCUUCACAAGAGGCGUCACAAGCUAUAUAUGGCAGUAAUAGUGAGAGUAAAGUAUUUCAACUGCUACCUGGUGCAAAAAGAGUAAUCUGAAUUAACUCUUAUUCCUGCUUAUAUUAGUGUUUGGAUGUGUUCAUUAGCAACAUAAAAGGUUUGUCAGUGGAUACUUCCUUACACUGUUUUCCUUACUGAAAGUGGUACUGCAGGAGCUGCCGAUACUCAGACCUCUUCCAAUAGACUGAGCAAAUUCUGAAAUAGUUUAUUUGCUGGAUACAUCACCCUGUUUCCGGACUUCUUUCUGAAAAGAUCUUUCAUACAACUAGCCUAUAUUUUACAGUGCUAAUUGAUGAGGAAAAUUAGCCUGUAGCUUAUCUAUCCACAUUAAUUGCUUGUAAAGUUACGAAUAGCAUGUUUUGCUCCAUGUCAUCUCAACAGUCUGUCUGCCGUACUAUUUUCAUUUUUCACAUCUCUCGAAUUUUCUGAAUUCUUUCUACUACCUUAUGUUAUGUUUAAUUAUGCAGAUUCUAUAUGUCAAUAUAACUGCAAAAACGAAAUUUAUUUGCUUUUUUGGAGUAAUAGGCAUCUCGUUCUUAUGCUUACUAAUACUCUAAUAGCCUUGUAUAAAUGAAGUCAAGUUGAUCUUCAAACAUACAGGCUCUCUAGACUAGUGGGUGCAGUCGAAAUGCAGAACUUUCUUUCUGUUGUCGUUAUUUGAAUGAUAAAAAUGCUGUGGGUACGUAGUUUUCCUUUUCUUGGAUUUACCACUGCCUGCUCAGAUGGAACAUCAUAUGUCAGGCCUAUUAAUCAAGAAAGGCUUCAUUGCCAGCAUCCUUUUCUACGUUCUAAAUGCAUAUGAUGCAGCAAGUGUCUAUCCUAUUAUCUUGCAUAGAGAAGUGUUACAGCCACGUACAUUUACUACCUGUCAUGGCCUUGCUGGGUAUGGUACAACAUUCUGUUUCACCUGAUGCUAUGUGGGUCGAUAUAUUAAACUGUUUAUACAAUUAGAAGCAGUUCUUCAUAUCAUACUAUCUUCUGAAUCUGUCAUCAAACAUAUACUGUUCUCUAUUUAUUGUUUUAUGAGUAAGGUUUUGUUGAUUGUAUUUGUUCUGAAACCUAGAAAAUAAUCCUUUGACAUGAUUAUACAUCUGCCAGAUUUACGAUGAUAAUAAAUAAGUUAAUUAGGUAAUAAUCUAGAAGAAAAGAGUUCUCAGGGAAACAAGUUAUUUAUACAUCUACUCAUUGCUCUUUUUCUUAGUAUCUUUUUUUUCUUCUAUAAAUAUUUCGUCUUCGAUAUAUAAACAAAGAGUUCUUUUCCUACUUUGUAAAACAUCUCUCUUAUUUAUGUGCGAAAGUAGGUAUGCUCUUUAAUAGAAUCUAUAAAUAACCUAUGUAUCUAUCCAGAAAGCUUCUUGUUGUAUAUGUUAGUUUCAAUGAGUAGUAUUGGAGCAUGCUAAAGGAUGAACUUCUUGGAGUAUUAGCAAUAUGUUUCAUCCAUGCUUUUGGAGUUGUAACUGUGAACUUAAAGUGCUUUUGCAUUGGAUUCCACAGCUUUUGGAUGCACAAACGUGUUAAACUACACUGCCCUCUCGCUAGAUUGUCUUAAUUAAAGGGUCAUAUCUAACUGUAAAAAUAAUCUGAGGUACCCUGUAGUUUCAUAUGCUGUUAGAAAAAUGUACCUUAUGUUGGUUAGUUCACUAUUGAUUUUAAAUGGUAUUGCCAAGUGGCUUUUGAAAGAACUCAUAUUGUUUGUAUUCUCUAUGUUUAUAUCAAAGUACUUAAUUUAUGUUUUCUCCAGAGAAAUCUUAAUAGAAAAGGGAUAAUUGAUCAUUGAAAACUAUGAAGUAAUUAAGGGUCAGAAAAUAAUACAUGCGUGUCAUUGCUUAUUUAUUUUACUAGUUCAUUUCCAAGUUAAAAAGAACGCAUGAAACUAUAAGUGUUGCUUCAUCAUUAACUAUAACAAUAUAAAGAAAAGAAUUUAGGAAUGAACUAAUUCAUAAACUAACGGCAAUAGGUAAACAUACAGACCUGAGGUGAUGCCAUGACAUUAGUAUUCUAGGGUGUUUCCCUAGCAUUACCACUGCCCAUCUUUUUCUUUUUCUUUCUUUUGUUUCUAUUUUCAUUCUCUUAUUCUUCGCAUUGCAACUUUACAUAGUAUUGAUAAAUAUUGUCUGUUUCAUGCUAUCUAUAUGUGACGAAUUUCCAGUGCCUGGUCUCAAAUCACUCAUCUUAAUUUUGGCUUAUAUCCUUCUUCGCGACAGCUUCUGUUGAAGUCUCUAAUUGCGACAACACAAGCAGCACUCAUAUUUAAAACCUCCAAUAACCUUGAGCUUGGACCGAGACCAGAAACAAGCAUUGCUUCAGCUGCAUGGAGGUGGCUGAGGUUUCUUUGCUUUCAUUUGGUCUGCAGCAGGACUGGGGCCAAGGGUAAGUUCAAGUUCAGGUAUUUGAUUAAUUCUUGCUGCUGCUAGUCUCUGUUUUAGCUCAGUAUACAAAGCCUGGUUCUCCUGUCUCAGCCGUUGAGCAGUCUUCCUUAGCCUGUCAUUCUCCCGCAUAAUCUGAAUAUUCUGCCAGUACAGGUCUAAAUUCUGUUUCUCCAUAAAUCAAAUGCUUGAGUUGGCCUGAAACGGAAGAACCAUCAAGAAUUAUGAAGGUGUUUGCAAGAUAUAUUUGGAAAACAUAGCCUAACAUAGUAUGUAAAAAAGAGCAGAUGAUGAAAUAGUAAACUUCUUCUCUUAUCUAUAUAUGCAUGGCAUAAGUUUAAACACAGGUCGCACAGCAUUACAGAAAAUUAAUAAGAAGUUAUAGAAGAUAGAGAUGAUCAAA